AUUGAACGCUGGCGGCAGGCCUAACACAUGCAAGUCGAGCGGAUGAAGGGAGCUUGCUCCUGGAUUCAGCGGCGGACGGGUGAGUAAUGCCUAGGAAUCUGCCUGGUAGUGGGGGAUAACGUCCGGAAACGGGCGCUAAUACCGCAUACGUCCUGAGGGAGAAAGUGGGGGAUCUUCGGACCUCACGCUAUCAGAUGAGCCUAGGUCGGAUUAGCUAGUUGGUGGGGUAAAGGCCUACCAAGGCGACGAUCCGUAACUGGUCUGAGAGGAUGAUCAGUCACACUGGAACUGAGACACGGUCCAGACUCCUACGGGAGGCAGCAGUGGGGAAUAUUGGACAAUGGGCGAAAGCCUGGUCCAGCCAUGCCGCGUGUGUGAAGAAGGUCUUCGGAUUGUAAAGCACUUUAAGUUGGGAGGAAGGGCAGUAAGUUAAUACCUUGCUGUUUUGACGUUACCAACAGAAUAAGCACCGGCUAACUUCGCG
rnacentral:rRNA from 1 species